UACAGAGGGUGCAAGCGUUAAUCGGAAUUACUGGGCGUAAAGCGUGCGUAGACGGUUACAUAAGUCGGGUGUGAAAUCCCUGGGCUCAACCCAGGAAGUGCACUCGAAACUGGCAGGCUUGAGUACUGAAGAGGGUCGCGGAAUUCCCGGUGUAGAGGUGAAAUUCGUAGAUAUCGGGAGGAACACCAGUGGCGAAGGCGGCGACCUGGGCAGAUACUGACGCUGAGGUGCGAAAGCGUGGGGAGCAAACAGG
rnacentral:rRNA from 1 species